rnacentral:rRNA from 1 species
UACGAAGGGGGCUAGCGUUGCUCGGAAUCACUGGGCGUAAAGCGCACGUAGGCGGAUCUUUAAGUCGGGGGUGAAAUCCCGGGGCUCAACCCCGGAACUGCCUUCGAUACUGAGGAUCUUGAGUUCGGGAGAGGUGCGUGGAACUGCGAGUGUAGAGGUGAAAUUCGUAGAUAUUCGCAAGAACACCAGUGGCGAAGGCGGCUCACUGGCCCGAUACUGACGCUGAGGUGCGAAAGCGUGGGGAGCAAACAGG